CAGCAGCCGCGGUAAUACGUAGGUGGCAAGCGUUGUCCGGAAUUAUUGGGCGUAAAGGGCUCGCAGGCGGUUUCUUAAGUCUGAUGUGAAAGCCCCCGGCUCAACCGGGGAGGGUCAUUGGAAACUGGGAAACUUGAGUGCAGAAGAGGAGAGUGGAAUUCCACGUGUAGCGGUGAAAUGCGUGGAGAUGAGGAGGAACACCAGUGGCGAAGGCGACUCUCUGGUCUGUAACUGACGCUGAGGAGCGAAAGCGUGGGGAGCGAACAGGAUUAGAUACCCCGGUAGUCCCUGUCUCUUAUAC
rnacentral:rRNA from 1 species